rnacentral:rRNA from 1 species
UCUCAAUCGCUGGGAGCAUGCCGGAUCAAGUCAGGUUGAGAGAGGAAGGCAUCCCGGAUGUUAACAUAUUUUUUUAGGCAGGGAGGUUAGUCGCUUUACGAGGAAAAGGAACCCGGUAAAUCUCUGCCCCCGCAGGCGCUAUAAUGGGGAGGGCAAGCGUUUUCUUGAGAAAUAGGGGGUAAAGAGUGCACGGGGGCGCAUUAGAAUGUUAGAUUAGAAAUCGCAGUCUCUACCAUGGAGCCGCAGGAAAAAGUUGUAGUCGAGAGUUGUAGAGACGGGGGGAAAACUCCAAGUGGCGGGGAAAAGUUCGGAGAUAGGGAGGAGCACCCCAGUGGAAGAGGCUGAGCAGGGCCACGAUAGAGACUCAGAGAUGAAAACCAGGGGGGAGAAAGCGAUAAGAGACCCCUGUAUUCUUCGCACUGAACGAGGAGCAUUACAGUGGUGGGGAAUUACACUAUUCGGUGUCGCACCACAACGAAAUAAAUAGU